UCAGAAACACGUCGCUGCGAGUAGACUGCAUGCUGCAGAAGGGAGCAUAUUCGGAUGACACCACCGCCGUAUGCAAGUCGCUGGAUGCGCAAAAGUUGAUGAUGUGGUGGCGUCGGUGCUGUAUGCGGACUAUACAAAGAGCAGUAGAUCUGAGUACGGAGAGAACUUCGCCGCCUUAUGCAAGUCCCUGGAAUCGCUAAAAUUAAGGAGAUUGCGGAGGCAGUGCUGUUUGUGAAGAGUCUUACAUUCGUUUGUGAACGACGACGACGACGACGACGACGACGACGACGACG